rnacentral:rRNA from 1 species
CAGUCGCCACGGUAAUACAGAGGAUGCAAGCGUUAUCCGGAAUGAUUGGGCGUAAAGCGCACGUAGGCGGCUUUGUAAGUUAGAGGUGAAAGCCCAGAGCUCAACUCUGGAAUUGCCUUUAAGACUGCAUCGCUUGAAUCCAGGAGAGGUGAGUGGAAUUCCGAGUGUAGAGGUGAAAUUCGUAGAUAUUCGGAAGAACACCAGUGGCGAAGGCGGCUCACUGGACUGGUAUUGACGCUGAGGUGCGAAAGCGUGGGGAGCAAAUAGGAUUAGAUACCCGCGUAGUCCCUGUCUCUUAUAC